CUUGCAUGACAUGGAACAGACUGCCCAUCUGCCUUGAGUUGUAAUCUGGCCCGUUAGAUGAGAGAGAAAUAAAUUUCUCUUUAUUUUUGAUCCACUGUGUUUUGGGGUGUUGGUUGCUCUAACUACCACACAAAACCAAUCAGAAAUUCUCUCUCUUAAUCUCUCUCUGGAUUUUGAAUCUUAAGCAGACUGAAACUGAGACAGGAAAAGCAGCUGGAGCUGACCAAUUCCAGUAGUAGCACAAUGACAGGAGAGUCUAGGAAUUCCUAUAGCUGGGACCACCCACUCUAGGGCUGUUUUUUAGCUCCUAUCUAUUCUUGAACCUAUUUUACAAAUGUGCCAUUAAUUCUGUGACUUGUCUGUUAUCUUUCCAACAAAUUUCUCUAUUUGCUUAAUUUUGCCAGAGUUAAUUUUAUGUGCAGAGUUUAUUUAUGUUACUUGUUACUUGCAUCCAUACUUUUCUGUAUUUUAGAAUACUUUCUUAGAAUAGAUUUGAUAUCAUUGGGAUUACUGAGUAAAAUUUCUUGAUGGUUUUUGUGGCCUUUGAUAUAAAUGUCUUUCUAUGUGAUUCCAGAGGCCAAACAAAACAGAAAAAUUCUUCUUCCUGCUCCUUCAGUAAUGGGAACAUUCCCAUCCCUGCAGGAAAUGGCGAAAGUACUUGCUUUCUUUACAAGGUGGGCCCAAUGUAAUCACAGGGUCCUUAAAAGGGGAAGAAGUAAGCCAAAAAGGAGAGUCAGAGAAAGAGGCGUGACAACGAAAGCAGAGUCAGAGAGAUGCUAUGUUGCUGGCUUUGAAGAUGGAGACAGGAGCCACGAGCCAAGCAAUGCUUGUGACCCCAGGCAGCUGGAAAAGGCAGGCAAACAGGUUCCCUCCUAAAGCCUCCAGGAAGCAACACAGCUCUACUGACGCCUCAGUUGUAGACCAGUGAGACCCAGGUUGAACUUCUGAAAUACAGAAUCAAGAUAAUAAAUUUGUGUUGUUUUAAACCACUGAGUUUGGGGUAAUUUGUUAUGGUAAUUUGUUAAGGUAGGAAACUGAAUUCCUUCCUUCCUUUACUCUUUCAAAAAAUAAGGGCUUUCUAUGUGCCAGGCACUGUAUUAGGUGCUGGGGCAUCAUGCUAGAUGCAGGAAACAGUAGUGAAGGAACACACGGAAAGAAACAGAAAUAGAAAAAAAAAAAAAAAGAACUGACACUACUCUUAAUUCCAGAGUUUAGCAGUCAAUUUAUCAGAAGAGCUGCAGCCUCUCGGCCUCUUGCCUUAUUAUUGGGAGACAAUUCUCCAUGGGUCUCUCAUUCUUCAUAUCUUUUGAGAAGAGGCACUGAG
rnacentral:lncRNA from 1 species